AGUAACACGUGGGCAACCUGCCCCGAUGAUUGGGACAACCCGAGGAAACUCGGGCUAAUACCGAAUGUGCCCUCCGGCCAUAAGGCCGCUGGGGAAAGGAAGCUUCGGCCUCCGCAUCGGGAUGGGCCCGCGGCCCAUUAGCUUGUUGGUGAGGUAACGGCUCACCAAGGCAACGAUGGGUAGCUGGUCUGAGAGGACGAUCAGCCACACUGGGACUGAGACACGGCCCAG
rnacentral:rRNA from 1 species